UUUUUUUUUUUUAAGAUUUAUUUAUUAGAGCAAGAGAGUGCAUGGUGGGGAGGGGCAGAGGGAGAAGGAGAGAGAAUCCCAAGCAGACAAUGUGCUAAGCGCUGAGCUUGACUAAGGGCUCCAUCUCACUGCCCUGAGAUCAGGACCUGAGCUGAAACCAAGAGUCCAUCACUCAACUGACUGUACCACCCAGGUGCCCCUACAACAUUGUUUUUAAUACCAUGAUGCAUUAUAGAGUAAUUGCUGAUAAGUUGCUAAGUAAGUAUUAAAUUUAAAAGGCCAACAUUUUAAUGAAUUGUAAGGGUUUUGGAGGUAGGGGUCAAAAGUUGGUUUGGAAGACUGUGUGUGUGUGUGUGUGUGUGUGUGUGUGUAUAAGCAUGGUGGAAGAUAAAACUGUAUAGGUAGUUUGGGGUCUUGUUAUGGAGGACCGGGCUAAAGGUAUUUGUAUUUUGACAAUCUUGGAAUGUUUUUGAACAGCACCGUGACAUGAUGAAAAUGAAAAUUUAGAAGUACUGAUUUGACAAGAAUAUGGAAAAUAACUACUUCCUUUCAACAAGAUAUGUUGACUACCUACCAUUUACUAUAAGUAUGUGCCAGGCACUGAAGUUACAAAUCUAAGUAACAUAGUCCUUGCCCUAGGAAAUAACUACUCAGUAGAAGAAGAUAUAUUAAGAAAACAUUUUUUUCCUUUUUUUUUUUUUUUUUAAUUUUGGUAAGUGCAAUGACAAUGGUGUACCUGGGGUGCUAUCAGAGCAUAGAGGAAGGAACUAACCCACCGGAAUUCAUGAGAGGGUUUUCUGGUUGGAUGUGAUAACAGCAUCUCAAAAAAUGAAGGAAUGUGGUAAAAAAUUGGUGAACAUUCCAGGCAGAGGGAACAGUGUAACAAAAGCAUAGAAACAGAGGACAAACAUGUUCGUUUCAUACAACUAUGGGCACUUCCCGUUUGCUGUAUUCUAAAGCAAUAAAAAAAGUGAAGUUAACAAGGACUUUGCAUGCCUUUUCUUGUAUUAAAGGUGAGAGAUGCUGCAGGCCUGAGCAAGGUCAGUUGUGGUAGGGUUGGUGAGAAAGGGAUGGUUUCUUCUAGAAAAUGUAGGGGUAAAAUCAUUAGAACUAAGUGAUUGGAUUUCAGGGACAAAGAUAAAGGAGAAGCCUUAAAUUGCAUGUAGAUUUCUGUCUGGGCAUUCAGGAAGAUUAGUAGCACUAUUAACUGAGAAUGGACAGGGGAGAGUAGCAAAGCUGGAGUGAAGGCAGUAUGGGACAGUUCGACAUCUAGGUCCAGCAGACAUUUAGGUAAAUAUAUCUGAAGCAUAGGAGAAUUCAGAGCUACAGACUUUUUGGGGUUAGCUGCUGUAAGUGUUGUUCCAAACACAAGUGUGCAUCAGACAUGGGUGCUUCUUUGAAGCAAAAUGAAAAUGGUUCAUAGAGGAGCAGUAAUAUUUAAGCUGCAGUAGAGAAUGUCUUACAAAGAUUGAUCAUAACUUCUCAAAGGUUAGACAGCCAAGAGUAGUCUCACAGAACUCAAGGAAGAGAGAAUUUAUGUUCAAAAUUACCAAUAUCUAAUGCUCCAGUGAAGGCUAUUUAAAUAUGUACUAAAACCUUGCCAGUAGAUAUGACAAUUUGGUGAUCUUUGUUUGGUGUCAGGAAAAAGGGAAGGAGUGAGAGCGUAACCAGAAAGGUACACAGAGUUGAGGGACGGAUUUUGAUAUUUAUAUACUGAAGGUGAUGAAAGCAGCUAACCCUUCCUGAAAAUGUUCUGGAUUCCAGGCCUUCUUCCAAGGGCUUUCCAUAUAUUAACUCAUUUACUCCACACAGCAACCCUAUGAAGUAGAUACUGUUUUCCUCAUUUUACUGAGGAGAGUUAAUCACAGAGAAAUGGUUACAUGACUAACAACUGGUAAAAGAGCAGAAUGAGAAUUUGAACCCUGGAAUUCUGACACAUAGCUCCAUUAUUUACCACUGUCUCUGUAGAAUGGUGGGGUUUGUAGAUAUGGAGAAGAGGAGUGAUCUUAAUGGAUCAAGAUCAGAAAAGACUGGAGGGGGGAUAAAGUCAGGAACAUAGGUGGGAGUUUUGGUCUUGAACAAGAGUAAGGAUAUUUUAUUCUUGAAGACCAGAAACCAGGGCUACAGGUGGAGGUGAUUCUUCCUCAAUCUCUGUUUUUCCUUGCCAUUAAUAUGAUGAAGAAACCAGGUUUUGACCUUUGAAUUUCCAAGUCUGGAUUUUGCUGAUUGAAUACCUAUGGUUAUGUUUCAACUCUUCAUGAUUGGAAUCUUCAAACAUUCUCCAUCCUUUCCUCUAGGAUUGGUGUUUCUGAGGAUACUAUUUCAGAUAUUUAUUUGGCAAGUUAAGUAUAUGGUCUACCCAUCAUAGGCUUCAGCUGAGUCCUCUGAAGAGGACUCCCACCUACCCUGAUCUACCUUCUUCACAUCUUUUCUUGCAAGAAGAUGCUAGGUCGUAAUGACAUUUGGGGACUGAGGGCACGGGGCUCUUCACAUGGAUGAAAUGCUGGUGAAUCUACCUUCUACUACUACCCUGUUAAAUUUAAACUUCUUUCCCUGUAAGAGAGUGAGCAAUCCUACCUGGCACCCAGGAAAGCCUUGUGUGGAUAUCCUUAGGAGAACAAAUUGGGUCUGUAUGUUCCCUUGCUAAGGAGUGCUGUCCUUUCUCAUCAUCAAGAUCUGCACUAAUGUCUAUAAUAGAGCCCAGAUGGCUGAUGUGUGAGAGCAGGAGCAGGCCUCCAUGGGGUUUCUCCUCACUGUGGCCAGGGUGGUGGCACACAAAGGCAUUCCAUUGGCUUCUGAGUCUAGAUCUAUAAAUAUAUUUAUUAUAAUAUAACAAGAACUUAACAAUAAACAUAUACUAUAUACAAUACCAUUACAGAGAACCCUGUUUUAUAUCAUUCACAGAAAUAGCCAGUUUUGCUCCAGUGUGAUAAAUGAGGAGAGAAACGGAAUUUCAAUGUCAUCUGUGUUGAGUCUUGCUGACCACUAACACCUCCUUUGGAGGCAGAUGCACACCAAACGCUAACAUUAGCCCUGCCCCAGGCAGUUAGAAUUUUGUGCUCCGGUCCUUGGGUUCACACUUGCACCCUGUUUGACAUAAAUACUUUAAAUGACAUACAAUGUAUGUAGUUUUGUGCUUAUUACUUUUUAAAAGAAUAAAUAAUAUUAAAAACUGCAUAACGAAGCUCGGUAUCUUGUCCAAGUGGGAGUCACACUUGUAGUGCUAAAAGUUGAUGCCCGACAUUAGAAUCGGAAUUUUGUGUCAUUAAAUACCGAAAGAUGGAAAGCAUGUCCUGUCCUUUUGUCCUUAGAAAUGGUUUUUAUCAUGAAAUGACGGCAAGUUGACUUCCCAGAUAUAAAAAUGGUAAAUGCGUAUUUGGUACCAACUUCAACUAAACAGCGCAGUGGCGGCGGCUCUCUUCUUGCCCUGGAAUGGAAACUGAUCACCGCGUGAGGUUUGAGGGUCUGAGGACUGGCAGGAAGGCCUUUCUGUCAUGAGCCACGGUGUGACCUUCCUCCUGGCUUCCCUUUCUCUGGUUAAUAUGCUACAGGAAGAGUGAUUCUGCUCAUGCCCCCUCAGGCCUUGGCUGUCAUGGCUCGCCUACGAAGGCUGUCCCCAUCCUGAGAGCUCUUGUGGCAGGUGCCUUAAUAUAUAGCUAUAAAUAUCAAAAAUAG